CUAUAAUGCAGUCGAACGCUUCUUUUCCCACCGGAGCUUGCUCCACCGGGAAAAGAGGAGUGGCGAACGGGUGAGUAACACGUGGGUAACCUGCCCAUCAGAAGGGGAUAACACUUGGAAACAGGUGCUAAUACCGUAUAACAAUCGAAACCGCAUGGUUUCGUUUUGAAAGGCGCUUUACGGUGCCGCUGAUGGAUGGACCCGCGGUGCAUUAGCUAGUUGGUGAGGUAACGGCUCACCAAGGCCACGAUGCAUAGCCGACCUGAGAGGGUGAUCGGCCACAUUGGGACUGAGACACGGCCCAAACUCCUACGGGAGGCAGCAGUAGGGAAUCUUCGGCAAUGGACGAAAGUCUGACCGAGCAACGCCGCGUGAGUGAAGAAGGUUUUCGGAUCGUAAAACUCUGUUGUUAGAGAAGAACAAGGGUGAGAGUAACUGUUCACCCCUUGACGGUAUCUAACCAGAAAGCCACGGCUAACUACGUGCCAGCAGCCGCGGUAAUACGUAGGUGGCAAGCGUUGUCCGGAUUUAUUGGGCGUAAAGCGAGCGCAGGCGGUUUCUUAAGUCUGAUGUGAAAGCCCCCGGCUCAACCGGGGAGGGUCAUUGGAAACUGGGAGACUUGAGUGCAGAAGAGGAGAGUGGAAUUCCAUGUGUAGCGGUGAAAUGCGUAGAUAUAUGGAGGAACACCAGUGGCGAAGGCGGCUCUCUGGUCUGUAACUGACGCUGAGGCUCGAAAGC
rnacentral:rRNA from 1 species